rnacentral:rRNA from 1 species
UACGGAGGGUGCAAGCGUUAUUCGGAGUUAUUGGGCGUAAAAGGCGUGUAGGCGGUCUGAACAGUCAGGUGUGAAAGCCCUUGGCUUAACCAAGGAAGUGCACUUGAAACUAUCAGACUUGAGUACGGGAGGGGGAAGUGGAAUUCCAGGUGUAGAGGUGAAAUUCGUAGAUAUCUGGAGGAAUACCGGUGGCGAAGGCGACUUCCUGGACCGAUACUGACGCUGAGACGCGAAAGCGUGGGGAGCAAAUAGG